UGUUUUUUCCUCUGUGUGUGUGUGUUGGCAACAUGUCUUGAUGCAUUUGCCAUCGCUUUGGUGAAGCCUAUUCUCUCAUUAGAUGCUUUCCCAUUAGAUGUGCUCUGUCUCUGCUCUGGGAGACGAUCCUGGGGCUUUAAGUUCUCAGUAGGGUCGCAAGGACUCAUUGUUUCUCCGGCUCUGGAAUCCAAGCUGUGCCACAUUGCUCCAGGUUGCUAGGUGACCACCUCCAUGCUGGCAUUCUUCAAAGCUGAAUAGGACCCUUUUCAAUUCCCAAGAAGUUUUUGAAGUUUCUCUCUCCAGAGGCCCUUUCUCCCUUGCACUUCUCUGUUGUGGAAAGGGGAUUACCUUCCAACUCCUUCAUAUCAGCAGGAGGUGAUGGAAAAUUCUCCCUUGACAACAAAGUCAGCUGCAAAUCCAAGAAAACUCAAGGGCAUAGAGACAUGGACAAAGAUCAACUGUCUGCAUGACCGGAGCUGAUUGCACCCCUGUCUUGCUUUUUUCCUACAAGACCAUAGAACUGGUUUGGGAUUAAUCAUUGUAGUCUCACUGGAAGAAAAAUCCUGAUCUCUUAGGAUCCAGAAAACAGAAGGUUAAGAUGCUGAAUUUCCUUUAAGUUCAGGCUGGAGGGUGGAUCCAUUCUCUUUAGAUAGUAGCCUAUAGAUAUUGACACUAUUUUUUAUUUUAUUUUUACAAAGCAGCUGAUUGGUUUAACAGUGUUGUUAAAAAUAUAGUGCAAAGAUACUAUCAAAUUUUUUUUUCCUGAUUUAUGAAAGGCCAGAGUAGAUGCGAUGCUUGUGAUAAGAGGGAGAAAAGCAAGGAAAGAAAAUAAAAGUGAAGAAAAUGAAGUACUUUUUGAUUGCUGGCUUGUCCAGUUGUACUGGAAAUCUACUUGUACAGGUAUGCAUUCCUAUGCACACUCCAUUGCUCUUGGCGUCUGUUGCUACGUAGUUUGCUCUUAUCCGAAAGUACUACCAUGUACUUGUUUCUUGAGUGAUAUUUCUUAAUCAGUGUUAUAAGAAGUUAAAGUUGCAUUUCUCACCUGGCAGUAAGCCUCAAUGAACUCAAUGGAACUUUCUUCUGAACACAGCUGCGUAGGAUUGCAGUGUAAGGUAAGAAUCACAAGACAAACUUUUCAGGAGAUGGCAGAGUCAGUUAAUAUCUCAAUAUAAAAAUAGUGCAGAGUUUUUAAUAAACAGACCUAUGUUUACACUUACACCUUAUUAAAUGCAAUACUCAGAAAAAGUCCUACUGAGCUUACUUCUUAGCAUUGCAGCCUGAAUGCUUUUGCUUAUACAAGAACGUGAUCAGAAUGUAUGUAAAUAUAAAAAUACCUAGGUUAGCCAGCACAGGAAUGGGCGUCUUGACCAGGAGAGGGCAGGGAAACGUUCUUUUUGCAUUUGCAGAGCUUUGCAAAGGGUUUCAUCUUUGAAUCAUUCCUCUAAAACAUCUCCUUUCCAAAGGCAGGAUACUGGCUAGUUCUGACUUUUCACCUAUUCCACUAUGACCCUUACAAUGAGCAAGUCAUUAGUGAAAUGCACAUCAUCAAUAUGGCAGGAAGUUUGUUUGUCAAAGGUUAUAUAUUCCACAAAACCUACCAUCCGGAGAAUGCAUACACUGCAUGCCCUCAGACACACACGUGAGGUGAACCAUAGUGAUAGAGGAAAGAGUUUUCCCCAUUCAAGUGGGGGGGACUAACCUUUCUUCCACCUCUCUGGUGCGGACGCCAAUGUAUGGGCUGAAGGUGUCCCAAGAACAUGUGCAAGAAUGUCCAUGUUCUCCCUGCAUAAUUGUAAUGCUGCUUUGGCCCAUCAGGUGGCAGCAUCUCUUUAGGUUGCCAUAUGAUUUAUUGACAGCAAAGCCCAAAGUAAUGCGUUCUGUGUGAGGCUGCCCUUAGGGACCAGUCUGAAAGCCGCAGCAGCUCCAAAAGGCAGGGGCUAAGGUACUGAGCCAGGCAUUCUAUCAUGUAGCUGUUAUACCACUCUUAAACCUGGCCAGGUUUAAGGUUUUAGUUUUGCACUGCAAAACCCUAAACUAGUGACCAGCUUACUCAAAGGAGGGCCUUUGUCAGUCUGCCCAAUCACUAAGAUCAUUGGAUGAAUCCCUCCUGGCUAUGCUGUGUCCUAUAAAUGCUUUUUUAGAGGUGACAAGAGGAAAGGCCUUAUUAGUGGUGGCACCCGCUCUGUAGAAUCACCUCCCCUCUGAUUUGCAGCAAUUGCCUACACCGUUGCAAUUUUGGCGUGUGCUGCAAACCCCGUCUGUUCUCUGAGGUCCUUGUUGGCCACCAAUACCAGCUAGUUUCUUUUUAACUUAACUUUCUGUUUGCUUAGCAGCUACAUUUUAUUCUCAAUUGUACUUUUGUUGUACUUCUUGGUUUUGUACACUUCUGGAUGUUGUUUAUGAAAAGCAAUAUAGAAAUGUGUUCAUAGAUUAUUAGUUUUAAUGCACUCUUUUCACAAAAUAGCAUUGCAAUAUGUGAUGUUGCAAAAGUGCCACAAUCUGAGAUAUGGUGUACCAUCUUUCGUACAGCUGUCAGUCACCGUGUAAGUGUGGGAGUGUGUGUGUGAUCCAAUCUGACUUGUGCUGCAAUGGAAAGCAGAAUACCCAAGCGCUGUUCAUAUGCAAAUCUUUUCUCCAGAGUGCAUUAGGGAAUCAGGGGGGAAUCAGACCAGGAGGAGGAAGCCCUGUGCCACUUAGCCAAUGCUCUGGUCUUCUGCUCCUUGACCCAGAAAGGUUGGUGAUCCCUAAUUUAGCACAUCCAGUCUGCUUUCAAUAUCAUUACAAUAACAAAGCAAGACAAAAGGGGAUGGUUUGUGCUCUCUCUCAUUGUGUCCGUUGCUGUUUCCUCCAUGCCACAUAAUAAAAGAAGAGGAAACUACUGUGGCCAUUUGAAAGCGCAUAUGAAAGUCAGUGCCUGAGGUAGAUUGACUCAAAGAUGGCCUCUCUGAGGGGUGGAGAGAUUCUUCCAUCACCAAGGAACUGUUAGGAAUUGUCCCUCUGUCAUUGCGCUGGAAUGCACUUGAAGCUACUUGAGUUCCCCAACUGUCUUUGACUCCAGCCUUCCAGCAGCUCCUAUGAAAGGAAGUGAUUGCUGAAAGACUCCUGUCUCAAACCCUAGAGAGAUGCUGCCAGUGGCUGAGUUUGGCUUAGUUUUAGGGCAUCUUUCCAUGUUCCUGAAUUCUGCUUUGAAUCGCACCUCAGGAUUGCUUCCUCCUUCCCAAAAGCUCACCCCACGUCUGCUCUUUCCUGGUCCUCCUCCCAAAUCCAUGGGCAUCUAAAGUUUGACAUGUACCACAGUAGAUAUAUGCACAUUUGCUUUUCUUCCUAAGCAUAUCGUGCUCACCGUGGAAGGAUUUUGUGAAGUCUCCUGAGACGUAUGCCAUCUACUCUGCCCAUAUGCUGCAGAUUCCCAGACUGCCAUAUGCUGUAUGUUCUUUGGCAGGGUUGAUGGAUGACAGACUUUGUAGACCAUCUCGAGGAUCUUUAUGGGGAGAUGUAUACUUCUCAUGCUUGGAUUUUCUGCUCUGGGUGCAAACGAAGAUCCAGCCUUUGAUGAAAAGCUAUACUGUUAACAGCCUCAGUAAAGCUGUGGAUGUGGCAACUGGUUAACACGGGUGUGGGUGUGCACCUUCCUCUCUAAUAAAAAUAUGCUUGAAAGCCAGGUCAGUGGGCUUGGAUGAGCAUUGCAAUUAUCAGGGCUAAGUGAGCCACCCGCAACAGAGAGAGAAGUUGGUUGCCAACGACCCAGAAACACUCCAGAGGCAGGAAGACGAUUGCUCAGGCAAAGCCUACAUAGGAAGUCUCUUAUAGUCUCUCCUAUAAGGCCCCAAUGGUUAAUUUAGGUGGGUAGGGCAAUUCAGUGCCUGAGAAGACUCCCCUUCCCCAGAACAGGACAGACGUCAGCACACAGCAUUGUGGGGCAAAGGCAAUGACCCAUGGGCCUCAAAGGGCAUACUGGGGCUGUUUCCAGGAUUGAUUUUUCAGACAUAAACUGAAAGGAGAAGUAUCAGGUGGGGAACCAUCCUGUGGGAUAUCCAGCCUCAUAUAACAAACAUGCUUAACUGUAAUGAAUCAUCACCACCAUCAUCAUAAUUUAAUUAUGUAUACCCUGCCCAUCUGGCUGGGUUUCCCCAGCCACUCUGGGCAGCUUCCAGCAAAAUAUAAAAACAUAAUAAAAUGCAUGAAGGGGUUAAGACCAUAGAGUAAGCAGUCCUGCCAGGCUCAGCUAGGUCACUCCCCAUCAUCUUGGAAGGAAGGGUUACCAAACUCUCUUGUUCUUCUUCUUUCACCAUUUGAACCUUACCGGUUAGGAGGACAAAGCUGCAUGCUCCAAGCUUAGACCGUGGGGCUUAAGCAAGCAAUCUUUGUGUUCCUAGACAAAUAAUUUAGAAACAUUUGCCAUUUUGGGAGCUUAAGUUAUACUGCCUAUCUUUUCUUGCUGCCGUGUGGAAAAGCACAUGAAUCUGACUUUGGAAGAGUUUGUAAGUAAACCAUUUUUAACUUACAAAAUGUUUGGUCUCUUUCUAUGGUCUAAAAGUGGGGAGCUAUGGAAGAAACUUAGAAAGGGAUAUUGUAAAGGUCCAGCAGUCUAGAUUUCCACACUUUGUUUUGCUGCAUUUUUGUGAUUUUAAAUCUUUGUUGGAGUUCUCUCUCACCAAAGAGUAUUUUCUUCAAACCUCCAUCUAAGCAUCCAGGGAGUUCUUCUUUUAUUUUACCUAGUGGUUUUUUUCCUAUUACCCAAAAUACAAAAACCAACACAUCACACCUAGCCACCAAAAGCUUCUGGGCCCCCCAAGGCACUGUGGGGGAGCAAAGAUGGUCAUCACUGCAGCUGCCUGACCUGGAACUCCUUUUUUGGAGCUGAAUCCUUAAAAGGAAAAACAAAAAGCUGUGCCAGAGCCUGUGCCUGCCUCCCGAAAACAUGUCCCCCACCCCUGUCAGCUUAGCAGGGAUGAGUAUAAUGAUUACACCCCCUGCCAGAGUACGGUGUGUGUUUUUUAUUUCCUUUCAAGGGCUCAAUGCUGGGCUGGGCAGCUAUGGCAGUCUCUCUCGACCAUUUGUUCCUGCAGCUGCCCACUCUCAGCACUGGGUAGCUGGGGUGCCCGUUCUGGGGGUGGUGGCCCACGCUCGCUUGGCAAAGGUGCUAGGGUGGUGCUUUGGCAAAGGGCUCUGAGGUGCUGGA